rnacentral:lncRNA from 1 species
GAAGGGACCGGCCUAGACGGGAAGACGCAACAGUGGAGAGAUGGGAGCAGGAGUAAGGCAGCCAUGGAAGGUAGGGGGAGCGCCCAUCCCCAAGGAGAAGUCUGGGCCAAAGAGGCAGCUCUGGAGGUGAACAGCUUCUGGAAGCCUGAAGGCAACUAUGGGGUAGUUAUAUUCUACUGCCCCCAAAAUGAUAUUCAGAAUGACCACCUAUAGGAGGUCCUAGGAAAUGUCUAUACGGUGUGUUCAUCUAGUAAAUGUGGAGAG